UUGGGUGUGGGUUUGAGGGAAGGGUACCAGAACCUUCGGGAGACUCCAUGGGAAGAAUUUGCAGAGCAGAGCAGAGCAGGAAAAAGCAAGAUAUCAGAAGAGCUCAAACCCUGAGGAGCUUGGAGACCAGUGAGAAAGGAUUGGUUAUAAACAGGAGCAGAAGAGCUGAAGCCUCUGAGGCAGCAAACAAUUGUGGAAAAUCUGUGAAGUAAUGUCCUUGCAACAUUUUCCGGCCUACUUCUCAGGACCCAUGGGAUUCAGAUAAGCAUUAGGCACAUUUCGAAAGUUCUCUGAAAUGAUUUUGACUCCCACUCCUCAUUCCCUCACUCUGCCAGCCCCUCCUUGAGAACCACAGUUUUGUAACAAUCUGUGUGGGAAUGACCACUGCUUCAGUUUAGUACCCUGGAAGAUUCAUGAUGUGGCCAGACUGUUACAAC